CCGUGGGAGGGAAGGCACUCUCUGUCAAGCUGCUGUCACCUUACCUGAAGUAAGGAGUCCACGCCUGCAUGUCCGAGGAAAACAGUUUUCUCAAACACAUUAGUUGAAAAACUGAAGACGCUGCCUAAAAUACAAGCUGAGUUAGAGACAGCCCUUGUAAGACUAGAAAAAGAAAUGGAAACUAAGUAACAUGAAUUAACAUAGUCCAGGGUCACAAAGCAAAAUGGAACAAGAACCUGGAUCUGAAUUCAGAGGCAGAAUGCUGGAAUCUAAGCCAGAAUGAGGUUACUGCCUAUGCAAAGAAGAAGACAGCUCAUCACAGGUUUAGGAAUGAAGACAGAUCUGCUGGGUUAGGUUGUAAGUGACAGUCUCAGAGCACAGCCAAUCUGAUUCUAAAAUGAGCACAUGAGGAUGUAAGUAUCCAAGACAGAUCCACAACCAAAAAGUUAGUUCAAGACAAAGACUGCUGACUAGACUCAGUACUCAAGAUCCAGCAUACCCACCCAUUCUGGGAGAAUGCAAGCAAUCACCAGUACUUUACAUGGAUGGAAUGCUCAGGUCAAGAAAUUCCAACAGUAAGAAUCCAGAACCUGGAAGUGAAAGUACAAAGCAGAAAGAAUUGACUAUGUCCGUAUACUUUCUCAACCAUAUCUCAUGUGUAAUCCACUUGGCAGGAAGGGGUAAGGUUUUCUUUUUAGUGUUGGUCUCUUGUUUACUAAAAUGAUGAUAUUUAGGAGAGCAUGUCCCAUUCCUCUGAUUCCAUACCAUCUUCCUUAUCCAGUUGGUAGG
rnacentral:antisense_RNA from 1 species